AUUUCUCUGUGACUUGCUUUAUAAAUACUGAAAUCAAUGACAAUGGAAGCAUAUCUGUAUUGCACAGCUCGGAAACAUACAUUUGCUAUAAAUAUAUAAUAUUUCUUAAUUUUCAUAUUCAGUUUAGAACUACUCACGUGUCAAAGAGCUACAGGCUGACUCCAUGGAACACAUGUUAUGGGUGACCAUCCUGAGGCAAGGUAAUGUCUUCAAAAGCAGAACUGGAAAUAAGAAAAGAUAGAGGUUGUAGUGUGGUUUUCAAACUAUUUUUUUUUUUUUUUAAAGGUAGUAACCUAAAUUAAAAACACUACAGCAAUUUAGGGAGAUAAAUCCCACUACAUAUAUAUUGCUGGAGGAAUGGGGCCUCUGAAAGAUCAGAAAUUAAUGAUGUUGCCGAAACUUUGUAAACUUUGACCCUGUACCUCACAGUCAGCAGACACAUUCCAGCCAAUCAGCAGCAGACCCUCCCUCCCAGCCCCUCACACCUCCUGGACAGCAUCCAUUUUACAUCCAUUGUGAAGCUGCAUUCUUAGUGAGCUGUCCAGGAGAUGGGAGGGUCUGGGAGGGAGGGCCUGCUGCUGAUUGGCUGGAAUGUGUCUGCUGACUGUGAGGUACAGGGUCAAAGUUUACUCAAUGAUGAAUCCGUGGCGAACCAUUCGCGGCGAACCGUUCGGGACAUCACUAUCAGAAAUCUUAAGCAUAGUUUCAUUAUGCUGAUACCACAUAUUUAGGGAGGGAUAUUGGCUACAUACGCAAUGUUUUUAACACAAAUAACUGCAUGUUUAGCAUAAACUUCUGACUGUAAUUUGACAAAGUAGUAUGCUAAUGCAAAGAAACAAGUCCUGCGCUCAAACUCCCAUUACUCCUGGGCGGCAGCAAUGACCAUAGUACACAUCAGCCAAAAUACAUAUAGUAAAAACCAAAGAAAAAAAGUUACCUGCACUCUCUCCACAUUCCUAUGUAUUUUUAAACAAAUUGAGGUUUUUAGUUACUUCCAAUGGCCAUGAGAGGGUAUGCCCACCUGCCACGUCAAGGCAGACGUCUUAGGUGGGUCCUACUCUAACAAUUUGCCCUGCUUCCUUGAGCUUCUGGCAAAAAAGUCUCUCAUGAGACAGAAAGGUUUUUUUUUUAUAUACAUCCCUACAUUCUUAUUAACCCUUAAUAGGGAACACGUGGGAUGGGCAGCAGCAUUGCAACUUAGCUGUGUGAUACAAAAGUGAAUACAAAUACAAAGAAACAAGUCCUGCGCUCAAACUCCCAUUACUCCUGGGCGGCAGAAAUUACCAUAGUACACAUCAGCCAAAAUACAUAUAGUAAAAACCAAAGGAAAAAAAGUUACCUGCGCUCUCUCCACAUCCCUAUGUAGGGGUGUAUAUAAAAAAUACCCCUUUCUGUCUCAUAAGAUAUUUUUUGCCAGAAGCUCAAGGAAGCAAGGCAAAUUGUUAGAGUAGGACCCACCUAAGACGUCUGCCUUGACGUGGCAGGUGGGCACACCCUCUCAUGGCCAUUGGAGGUAACUAAAAACCUCCAUUUGUUUAAAAAUACAUAGGGAUGUGGAGAGAGUGCAGGUAACUUUUUUUCUUUGGUUUUUAGUAUGCUAAUGAUUGUAUUGAAUAUUGCAGUGUGCCAACCCUCUUCUAAUGUAUUACAUGCUAUGUACAGUCUUUAUAUGCCAAUAAACCUUUUAAAAAAAAAUACUGAUAAAUAACUGUCAGCAGAUCAACUCAAUUAUUCAACAUUCUGGGCAUCAUACAAUAUUAUUAGGAUGGGUUAAACUAUCCAACGUCCCAAGACAUACUUGAAAACUACAGGUGUCUGUUAUAAUAUAGUAUUACUAAAAACAUUUCUUUUUUUGCCGUGGAUUAGAAGACUUCGUUAACCCCUUGUCAUGAAGUGGUUAAAAAUCCCCACAUAUUUGCAAAUUGAUCUGCUGUUACAUUUCUACCAACAGGAUAGUCUAACUUCCUUGUGCAUAAUAAUAAGGGAAACCCCAAUGCAUGUGAUUAUUGGAGUUCAAUUUACCCAUACUGCAAAGACUAAAUGUAAAUCCACCUACUGCAGAUACACAAAAUAUUGGUCUACGAGAUGCUCAGGUUACCUUGGCAAUAGGAGAGAAGGAGAUGUGAUUAUUCCCCUUCAUUGAUCAUAACAGAACAACUUGUGUAUAGCUAAAGACUAUAUUAAAAGCAGAGAUUAUUACUGUAUUGUUGCGCUUAUCUUCCUCUAUCUAUAUGUUAUUUAGGACAUAUUAGCUCUCACGGUAAUAGGUUAACUCCUGAUCCCAUGGAUUCCUGGAAGAUGGGAAACUAAAAGCAAUUGUUAAGAGAGGUUUCUAAACAGAUGUGAAAUAUUGAAGAAUACGCCUGGAGAGUGAAAGGAUUCUCAGAUGACAGAACUAAUCAAAGGGCUUUAUAAAUGGCAGGGGUUUCAACAAUUCCGUAGGACUAAAAUUCUUACCACUGCGGAUUUAUCAAUUUAAAAAGACAAUAGAGGCAACAGAACAACUUAAGUAUAAUAAAGCAGUUUUGGUGUAUAGACCAUGUCCCUGCAGUCUCACAGUUCAAUUCUCCGCCACUUAGGAGUUAAAUCACUUUGUUUAUACAGCCCCAGUCACUACUCCCUGCAUGUGACUUACACAGACUUCCUAAACACUUCCUUAACUGCACAUUCUGUUUAAUUUUGAAUUUCUCAUCUCUGGCUCUGUUAACAGCCUUUGAGACCCUGCAGGAGCCUCCUGUGCGUGCUUAAAGUUCAAUUUACAGGGCAGGAGACAAAAAGGUAUAGGGCACAUUAACAUCUGAUUGAAAAUGGAACAAUUUUUUAAUGCAAGCUGUGUCAGUCACAGCCAGGGGAGGUGUGGCAAGGGCUACCUAAACAGAAACAUAAGUGGUUUAAAGGAAUACUAUAAGUGCCUGGAAUACAAAGCUGUAUCCCGGGCACUAUAGCUCCCUCUGCCUCCGCCCUCCCUCGUAUCGCCCGCGCAGUAGUCAAUCAAUGCUUUCCUAUGGGGGGGGGGGGAAAUCGGACGCUGGAUGUCCUCAUGCUAUUACUAGUUUAUACCUCUUAACUAAAAUGCACUUGAUGAAAUAAUCCCAAUUUAGAGGUGCUGUCCCACGUCUUACUUCUCCACAGAAAGCACAGCACAACCAUAUCAUAUCAUAGACCUGCUUGUGCUGUGCAAACUACACUAAGGGCAUUCUGCCCACACAAGAGGUGGGCUAGUUAGCAAGAUGGGCAUACACUCCUUGCUGACAUGCUUCAUUUUCAUGUGCGUUUAUCCUCUGAUUUGUCACCAGUUGUAAGCAUUGUGUAACAACCUGUGCAUUCAUACCUCCCAAUAUUGAGAAAUAUGCUCAAAAGUCUUGGGGCCCCACUUGUUUGUUUAUUAUGUCUGCUGUCAAAUUUAGCUUAGAAUCUAUAAAUGUAAGAAGCACUUAGCUUCAAGUAACACACUAUAAACCCGGUUUGGUGAUAUAUUCACAAAACCGGCACCUGUGAACAGACAGGAAAUUUGGCAAUUUUAGGGCCAGCAUAACGAAGUUGGAACAAUUGCUAGUUUGGGUACUGUGACGUAGAAUUUGUUUAGUGAAUAAACCCCUCUAAAUACUUAGCCACUCAACAUUCUUGCAGGAAUUCAUAUAUUUAAAAAAAAAUUUUUUUUUAAAAACUGAAAAAAUCUAAAAACAUUCUAUCCCUGCAUUGUUCUAGCAACUCAGUUUUAUGUGUUAUCAAAUUUUUUUAUAUGCUUUCUAAGAACUUACAUAAGAGUUUAUGGAUGCCACCAAAGCAAAAAUAAAUUAAAAAUCUUGUUCUUUUUUUUUACAUAAAAUUAAUGACCCAUAAAAUGAAAGCCUUUUUUUCUCCUCUCUGUUUUAUUCAGGUAAUGCUGGCAUCUGAUCGUAUAACAAUGACAUGGCUUGUUAUGAAAAUUUAAAAAAGAAGCGACUCAUCUGAAAAAAUAGCAGCUGUCUGAUAGAACAUCGGGUGCUUGAAAUAGCUGCAAGAAAUCAAUUUUUCACCAAUGCCUUCCCACCUCUCAUACACAGAUACCAAAAUAACUGCUUUGUACCAACCCUCCCUUUAAAGGGACACACUAC